AACUUUUGGCAACGGAUCUCUUGGUUCUCGCAUCGAUGAAGAACGCAGCAAAUUGCGAUAAGUAUUGUGAAUUGCAGGAUUUUGUGAAUCAUCGAAUUUUUGAACGCACAUUGCACCUUCUGGUAUUCCGGAGGGUAUACCUGUUUGAGCGUCAUUUAUAUACUCAAAAGACUAUCUUUUGGUUAUGGGCGAUAUUCUCACUUGUGAGAAUUUGUCUGAAAUGAAGUGGUACGCUUAGCUUGUACGCAUGCUUUCUGCGCCGAUGUUAUUAAUAUUUUAAUUCUUUGGUGACGAGAUGCAGAGCGGCUUGCUUUGAGUUCCUUAACUAUUGGAAUUUUUCUAAUUUUGACCUCAAAUCAGGCAGGAGUACCCGCUGAACUUAAGCAUAUCAAUAAGCGGAGGCU
rnacentral:misc_RNA from 1 species